GUGUCUGUAGCUCAAUGGUAGAGCGCUGCUCUGUGGCAGCAGAUACGUGGGUUCGAUUCCCAUCAGACACC
rnacentral:tRNA from 1 species